GCCCAACUAGAUGAAAUCGUCGGUUUUUGCAUUCUGCCUCAAAUCCUCGCUACAAUGGACCCAGUGAAGAAGCGCAAAAUCGACGAAACCGGUGCCGACGGUGACCCCCUCAUGCUAACCGCCGACGACGCCCGCCGCAUUCUCGACUCUCUCACCCACGACCAGCUCCUGGAAAUCGUCCAAAACGCCCUCCUCCGCCACCCCGAUGUCCUCGACGCCGUCCGAUCGCUUGCCGACCGCGACACAGCGCAGAGGAAGCUCUUCAUCCGCGGAUUGGGCUGGGAGACCACCACGGAGAAGCUCCGCGCCCUCUUCUCCUCCUCCUACGGCGAGCUGGAUGAGGCGGUUGUCAUCCUCGAUAAGGUCACCGGGAAGUCCAAGGGUUACGGAUUCAUCACUUUCAAGCACAUUGAUGGCGCGAUUAUGGCAUUGAAGGAUCCGAGUAAGAAAAUCGACGGUAGGAUGACUGUCACGCAGCUUGCCGCCGCUGGGAUUUCGGGCCCUACGGAGGCUAGGGUGAAUAAUCCGGUGGACGUGUCGACGAGGAAGAUUUAUGUGGCCAAUGUGGCGCACGAUAUGGCGGCUGAGAGGCUUCUUCAGCAUUUCUCCAUGUAUGGGGAGAUUGAGGAGGGACCGUUGGGUUUUGAUAAGGCGACUGGGAAGUCGAAGGGGUUUGCGUUGUUUGUUUAUAAAACCACCGAGGCUGCUAGGGCCUCGUUAGUGGACCCGGUGAAGAAUAUUGAUGGCCACCAAUUGAACUGUAAACUGGCAAUUGAUGGGAAAAGAGGGAAGCCUCCUGGUGUCCAAGGGGGUAAUGUGGGGAAUGGGGAUGGGGUUGGGAAUUACGGUGGAGUAGGCGGGCAUUACGGUGGGUUUUCUGGUGGUCCAGGAUUGUCUUCUUCUUCUGUGGGAAGUCAAGCCGCAGGGUCCACUCCUGGGGUUAAUGGUGGGUAUGGUUCUGCAAUGGGAGGGCCAUAUGGUGGUGGUUCUCAUAUUGGUGGGAAUGUUGGAGCUGGAUAUGGUGGGUUGGGUGGAGCUGGGAGUGGAGUGGGCUCUGGAGCAGGAUUAGGUGGUGUUCCCGGUGGUGGAUUUCCUGGUCAUGGAGCUGGGAUGGGUGGUUGUGGAGCAGGUGGGACUGGUGGUGGAAUCGGUGCUGCAGGCAGAGGGUCAUGUUUUUACGGUUUGCCUCCUAGCUCAGUUGGAAUGGCAUCUGGGGAUUACCCGCACAGCUCACAUUACCACUUUUCAGCUGGAAGCUAUCAAGGGCAGCAUAAUCAAAUCCCAGGAGCAUUGUCAGCACCUAGAAUCCCACCUGGAGGAGCCUACCAGGGGAUGCCUCCUUAUUACUGAGUAACCAGAAGCCUUAGUUAUUUUUGAUCAAAUGCAAGCUAUUGAUAAUGCUACCCUCUGCAUUUCUGUAUGCCAUUUGGCAAUGCUCACGAGGAUUGAGAAAUGAAAAUUAGUUGGAUACAUGUGUAAUUGAGAGAUAUUAUGAUGUUAUUUGUGUCUUAGAAUGCUUGUCCUGUGAAGAAUUCUGUUUUGGGGGCUUUCUUGCCUCUCAGAGAUGGUCAAUGAUCAUUGUAUGUUGGAAAGGAAUGCUUGCAUUUUUAAGCUUGUUUUUGCGUUAUUGAUGAGCAGCCAACAAACUUAUUUGCAACCAAACGUUGAACUUUGGUUUGGUUUUGUGAGUAGUAAAUUGAUCUUGUCUUUACCUAGCCCUAGAAUCUGGAAUUAAUCAAAUUUGGCUCUUGUUUUGAUCUCUGUUAGUGUAAAUCAAUUACUUGCUGAUUCCUGGCUGAUGCUUCUUCUGUGCAUAAAAUAUAUACUACAUUUUAUCACUGAUUUUCUUUGUGUGCUGUUCUUGUGUUAAAUUUAUGUAUCUUAAAAUGGGAAUAUAUUAUCUUCUUUGUUAAAUUUGUGUGAGAUCAAUCUUGAAAACUUAAAUCGAUUACGAUGGCUAUUUUGUGAGAGCUUUGGCUGAAAGAAUAUUCUUUAUUAAGAGUAGAUUGGAGUUCAGCUGGCAAUUCGUGAUGUUUGUAAUUCACAUAGAAUUUCAUUGAAUUUUUAGUGUAACACCGAAUUAUGUUGUUUCUUUACUGCUCAUAGCUUUCUGAAUAAUGGUAGAUCACUGCAAAUCUUUGGUUGUGAGGGAUUGUCGAAUGCAUUUUUUGUCCCAAUUAUCUUCUUCCUGUUGCCUUGAUCUUUUAACUAAAACUUUUUCCAACAGCAUGUUGCUGUUCAAAGCUGUUGGAUGCUCUCUAUGCAUUCUUGAGCCUUUCAUUAUAGGAUAGAAAGUGAACAUUAGGACUUGAGUAAGUACAUAUGGCCUUAAUGCAUUUUCAGUGUCUCUUAAAGUAGUGUUUCAAGUUUAUUGAUUUAGGACCUGGCAAAUAUUGAGGUGGGUGCAUCAUUAGGUAAAAUACUAAUGUUCAAUUGUCAUGACUAAUUAUCAUAUGAUAUUUUAUCUAGGAUUGAUUUGUGAGAUUAUUUUAGUUGUAUGAGAUGACUAUGACUAAUUUUCACAUGAUUCUCCAUUUAGAAUUCUAUCUUAUGAAUCAAACACAAUAUAUAUAUCUCGAUAUAUAAUCUUGUAAAUCAAACAACCCUUAAGUAGUGUUGGUGAAUUAUUUCAAUGUGCUUGGAUGGCACAGACAGGGUAAAAGAGCUUGGAGUUUCGAAGAUAGCUACUAAUUUUAUAUUUCCACUUAUCUUUAUCAUUUGUAAGAGCAUCUCCAUGGGAUAGGUAAAUAGAGAGGUAAACUAAUAUAACUACCAUAUUUACCUUUUCUUCAUGAAAAAUUAUCCUCCAAGGGGAGAGGUAUUUGAGAAGGUAUUAUACCUUUUCCCAUUUUGAAGAGGUAAAAUCAUAUAACCACCAUAUUUACCUUCUUUUCAUAAAAAAUCAUUCUCCAAGGGAGAAGGUAUUACACUUUAUGUUUUUUUAAUGUUUUUGUACUACUAUUUUAUUUUUUUUAAAUGAUAUACCUUUCCAUAUACCUUUUAUCCUUGGAGUUAAUUUAGAAAGGUAUAUUGCACUUUUUGAGAAGGUAUAAACAUGAUAUACCCUUUCCAUUUAUCUUCUCCCCUUGGAGUUGCUCUAAUAGAAACAUCUCAUUUGGUUGAGAUACAAGUUUUUGCUCUACAUUUUCAUUUAAGUUGUAAACUUUCUUAAACUGCAAUGUAAGCACAAAGAAGCACAGAACAUAUAGUUACUCAAUUUUUUUACUCGUUUUUAUUGAAAUGGAUGUUUCAUUAAAUAGAAAAGGGCUAAUAGUCGCUAAUAUUACUUAGGAGUAUUUCUUUAGUGUUCCCCGUGAACUAAAAAAUAGUCAAUAAAACUUUUGAGUUUUGUGCAAUUUUCCAUAUAUCUCCGACUUGUUUGUUGGAACAUUAGCGGAGGGGUAGAAUCUGUAGGAAGAGUAGAGGAGAAGGAAAUGGGGUUUGUUUUAACAUGGUAUCCGAUCAGCAAACGAAUCUGUUAGUAUGUUAUAAAACUAAAUACUACCCCAAACGAGCUGCUCUAGACAACACAGCGUACUCAAAUAGAACAAAAAAAAAAAGACAAUCUAUGCACACAUGGGCACAACAAAACACGACACCAAAAAAAGUGUAGCCAGGAAGCCAAAAAAAACAAGAAGGAAUGGGGCAGCCAUUGAAAUGAUAACUAGACAGAUACCAUAGUACAAGAACCAACAAGUAGUUAUGUAUUUCUAACUGGUACUAAGAUGAGCUAACCAACAAAAUGGGUAGUAAGAAAGGUAGCGUAAUAUCCUACUCCUUGAAGUGAGCGUACUGCAGAGUGUAAGGGUGAAACUGAGAUCAUCUAACUGAGCCCAAAUGAGAACUGUGGCAACAACAAUUGAAAUAUACAUGGCUAUAGUAUCGCAGAAAACAAACACGUGGAAUGCUCUGUCUCUCAACAUCAUUGCCAUGCCUGAAUUAGUGCCAGCUUCAGAGCUAUUGUAGCCACCAGGCAUGGUGAAACCUGCUGCAAAAGUUAUUGUGGCAACCAGAGUUGCCAUAAGCAAUAGAGUGUUCACUCUAUCCUUAUAGCUACCUGAUAUCUUACUUCUACUUGAAGCCUUUUUUUUAGAGCAAUUUCGUGGAAUGCCAGCAGCCUUCAAUGCAGCCCAUCAAACGCUACAUACGCACACAAAGAUAUCAGUGCAUUAGAGUCACCUGGUUCUAAUAGUUACUAUAAAGUACUAGUAUGCAUACAUACAUUACAUACAUUAUACAUACAUACCUGUCUAAAUUGAGUAUUGUGUGGUAUUGACUAUCUUAGGGUGAAAAUACAUGCUAGCCAAGUGUAGAGGUGUGUUUCCAGAUUUGUCUUGCAUGUUUAUGAGGUAUUUGAGAUGAUGAUUAUUGAGAACAACAUUGAACACAUUAUAUCUUCCACUCUUUGCGGCAACAUGUAAAAUAUUACAACCAUCCCCAUCGAGCAACUCACCUGGAUCUGGGAAAUCUUGGAGCAAAAGGCGAAUGAUAUCAACAUGGCCUUCAAAGGAUGCUAGAUGAAUAGGUGGCCCAAAGAUGCAGCAAAGUGAAGGGGAUUUCUACCUUGACAGUCUCUCACUUUGAUUAGUCUGGGACUCGUGUUGAAAUCGCUUCUAAAACACCUGAUGAUUGCUGCUUCAAUGGGAGAUUUGUUAUGGAAAAGCUGAUUUACGCGUUCUUCAUCUGAGCAUAGUUGAAGCAUUAAAGAGACGCACCCUACAUUGCCAGAUCUGACUGCCAAAUAAAGUGCAGACUGUGAUUUGUUGUUCCGGAUAUAUGAUAGCUCGGGAUCUUGCCGGAUCAAAUAUUCUGCGGUUGCACCUUGACCACUUAAUAAUAAUUCAUGCAGGGCUGUGUAUCCUCGAUCAUUCUUUGCCCUCAACAGAUCAUUCGCGUCCUCAUGAUUCUGAGGCAGGGACUGCAACCAAUUAUGAUGAAUCUGCAGCAGAGCUAGUAGCACUGUUAUUCCAUUCCAUCUCUUUGCAGCGAGAUGCAAUGCUGUUUCUCCAUUAAAAUUCUUGGCCAACAUGAGAGAUGGUCUCACAGUAGCUAUGAGAGACACUAUAUCUUCGUGUCCCAUAUCUGCUGCUAUAUGAAGAAAUGUGUUUCCAAUAGGGCUCAACCUCGACAAAACAUCACCAGUAGACAACGUCGGUGUUGAAACUCGACCAAGAAUCCUUUUGCAUUCAUCAACAUCACCCCUUCUUGCCGCUAGAUACAAGUCAUGAUCCUUACACAUAUCUAUCGCGAGAUCAUCAUCUUCAGGGAUUCUGCUAGGAGGAGAUCGACUCCUUUUCUUCUCCUUUUUCUUGGGUUCAAAGGAAGCGUCAAUCGUGGCCAUGCGCUUGAAACUAUGGCGUCUUUCAUAGGCGUUAGCGUUAGCAUGCUCAAUCUUUAUAUCAAGCCUACCCAUAUCUUUAAAAUUGCAAACACUUGUUUAUUUCAUAACUGCACCUGCAACUUUAAUGAGGGAGGAGGAAGAAGUGAAUGA